GAUGAACGCUGGCGGCGUGCCUAAUACAUGCAAGUCGAGCGAACAGACGAGGAGCUUGCUCCUUUGACGUUAGCGGCGGACGGGUGAGUAACACGUGGGUAACCUACCUAUAAGACUGGGAUAACUUCGGGAAACCGGAGCUAAUACCGGAUAAUAUUUCGAACCGCAUGGUUCGAUAGUGAAAGAUGGCUUUGCUAUCACUUAUAGAUGGACCUGCGCCGUAUUAGCUAGUUGGUAAGGUAACGGCUUACCAAGGCAACGAUACGUAGCCGACCUGAGAGGGUGAUCGGCCACACUGGAACUGAGACACGGUCCAGACUCCUACGGGAGGCAGCAGUAGGGAAUCUUCCGCAAUGGGCGAAAGCCUGACGGAGCAACGCCGCGUGAGUGAUGAAGGUCUUCGGAUCGUAAAACGCUGUUAUUAGGGAAGAACAAACGUGUAAGUAACUGUGCACGUCUUGACGGUACCUAAUCAGAAAGCCACGGCUAACUACGUG
rnacentral:rRNA from 1 species